UACGGGGGGGGCAAGCGUUGUUCGGAAUUACUGGGCGUAAAGGGCUCGUAGGCGGCCAACUAAGUCGGACGUGAAAUCCCUCGGCUUAACCGGGGAACUGCGUCCGAUACUGGAUGGCUUGAGUUUGGGAGAGGGAUGCGGAAUUCCAGGUGUAGCGGUGAAAUGCGUAGAUAUCGAGAGGAACACCUGCGGCGAAGGCGGGUUGCUGG
rnacentral:rRNA from 1 species